rnacentral:misc_RNA from 1 species
AAAAGAGUUACAACUCCAAAACCAUUGUGAACCCACCUAAAAUCGUUGCUUCGGCGGGCGGCCACCACCCUAGUUCUCUAGGGGGUGUGCCUACCCACGACCCGCCAACGGCGGGCGCCCGCCGUAGGUACAUAUAUAACACGUCUCUCUGUGUGACCUCUCUGAGUCUUCUAUACCGAAUCGGUAA